GGCGCCAGGGAUUUGAACUGCGCUACGAAGUUUGGUGAUCCAUCUUCUGAGUAUCGCCGGAAUUUCGAAUCGCGAUGAUCAUCCCCUCUCUAGAGGAGCUGGACUCCCUCAAGUACAGUGACCUGCAGAACUUAGCCAAAAGUCUGGGUCUCCGGGCCAACCUGAGGGCAGACAAGUUGUUAAAAGCCUUGAAAGGCCACAUUAAACAUGAGGCAAGAAAAGGAAAUGAUAAUCAGGAUGAAAGUCAAACUUCUGCAUCCUCUUGUGAUGAGACUGAGAUACAGAUCAGCAACCAGGAACAAGCUGAGAGAGAGCCACUUGGCCAUGUCACCAAAACAAGGAGAAGGUGCAAGACUGUCCAUGUGGACCCUGACUCACAGCAGAAUCAUUCAGAGAUAAAAAUAAGUAAUCCCACUGAAUUCCAGAAUCAUGAAAAGCAGGAAAGCCAGGAUCUCAGAGCUACUGCAAAAGUUCCUUCUCCACCAGACGAGCGCCAAGGAGCUGAGAAUGCUGUUUCCUCAGACAGAGUCUUGCUCUGUUGCCCA
rnacentral:sRNA from 1 species